AUAUUCCGACAGGGGAGCGCCACAGCGCUGAGAGUGCGGCAACCAGGCCGCAGACCCUCUGAACCUCGCCCAGGUCAUUCUGGGUAGGAAGUUCGGUCAUCACCGUGA
rnacentral:ncRNA from 1 species